rnacentral:rRNA from 1 species
CCUACGGGUGGCUGCAGUAAGGAAUAUUGGUCAAUGGACGAAAGUCUGAACCAGCCAUGCCGCGUGGAGGAUGAAGGUCCUCUGGAUUGUAAUCUUCUUUUAUAUGGGACGAAAAAAGGCCUUUCUAGGCCGUCUGACGGUACCAUAUGAAUAAGCACCGGCUAACUCCGUGCCAGCAGCCGCGGUAAUACGGAGGGUGCAAGCGUUAUCCGGAUUAACGGGGUUUUAGGUGUGCUUAGAAGGGUUGAUAGAAAUCUCCGAGCUUAACUUGGAAACUGCCAUUGAUACUAUUAAUAUUGAAGAUUGUGGAGGUUAGCGGAAUAUGUCAUGUAGCGGUGAAAUGCUUAGAUAUGACAUAGAACACCAAUUGCGAAGGCAGCUGGCUACACAUAUAUUGACACUGAGGCACGAAAGCGUGGGGAUCAAACAGGAUUAGAUACCCUUGUAGUC